rnacentral:rRNA from 1 species
CCUACGGGUGGCAGCAGUGAGGAAUAUUGGUCAAUGGGCGGGAGCCUGAACCAGCCAAGUCGCGUGAGGGAAGAAGGUACAGUGUAUUGUAAACUUCUUUUAUCAGGGAAUAAAGGUAGGCACGUGUGCCUAUUUGAGUGUACCUUAUGAAUAAGCAUCGGCUAACUCCGUGCCAGCAGCCGCGGUAAUACGGAGGAUGCGAGCGUUAUCCGGAUUUAUUGGGUUUAAAGGGUGCGUAGGUGGUUUGUUAAGUCAGCUGUGAAAGUUUGGGGCUCAACCCUAAAAUUGCCGUUGAAACUGGCAGACUUGAGUGGGUGUGAGGUAGGCGGAAUGCGCGGUGUAGCGGUGAAAUGCUUAGAUAUCACGCAGAACCCCGAUUGCGAAGGCAGCGUACUAAGUCCUCACUGACACUGAAGCACGAAAGCGUGGGUAUCAAACAGGAUUAGAUACCCCAGUAGUC